AUUGAACGCUGGCGGCAGGCCUAACACAUGCAAGUCGAACGAGUGGCGGACGGGUGAGUAAUGUCUGGGAAACUGCCUGAUGGAGGGGGAUAACUACUGGGCACCGUAGCUACUAACGCAUACAUUACUAUGUGCCCAGGUGGGAUUAGCUAGUUGGGGGGGUAACGGCUCACCAAGGCGACGAUCCCUAGCUGGUCUGAGAGGAUGCCCAGUCACACUGGAACGGAGACACGGUCCAGACUCCUACGGGAGGCAGCGGUGGGGAAUAUUGCACAAUGGGCGAAAGCCUGAUGCAGCCAUGCCGCGUGUAUGAAGAAGGCCUUCGGGUUGUAAAGUACUUUAAGCGGGGAGGCGUUACCCGCAGAAGAAGCACCGGCUAACUCCGUGCCAGCAGCCGCGGUAAUAC
rnacentral:rRNA from 1 species